UCAAAAAACUUUAGACAAUUUACAAAAAAUAAAGAUAUUGAUAUUUUUAUCAAGUUAGAAAUAAAUACUUUUAAAAAUAAAACACAGCAGUUGAUCAAUAUUGGAAAAAAUGGAUUCUUUGUCUGGAGUGACUUUAUUCAAAGUUGAUGGCUCUAGUGGCUUAGCAGACAACAUACUUAGUGAAAAGGAAUUUGUGCUUUAUUAUUUCUCAGCUCAUUGGUGUCCUCCUUGCAGAGAGUUUACACCUGUGUUAAAAGAAUUUUAUGAAGAAGCUCAUGGUGAUUGGUAUUGUGUGGAAUAUGAAUCUGAUUUAGUGUAUCAACUAAAGGAAAAAUUUGAUGUCAACUCAAUACCUAAAUUGAUUGUUUGUAGAAAGGAUGGGUCUCUUGUUACGGCCAAUGGUCGUAAUGAUGUCUCUGAAAAAGAACCAUCAACAGCCGUUGCUGAUUGGAGAAAUUAAAGUUUAUUUUUUAAGCCCAUUUUAGGCGCCUGUAUUUUAGAAACGUACUCUUAAAGUAUUUCUAAAAUGCAAAUUAAUAGUUAAAUGUAAAAAAAAAUAAAUGUUACAAAGUAUUCUUGAAUUAUAUUAUUCUAUGCAUAAUUUGUAAAUUAAUUAUUUAAAAAAUGUACUUCGUGUAUUUGCAACAGUUUGUAAAGUAAAUAACUUAAAAGUGAUGUAAAGUUUUUAAGAAGAAAAAUUUGCGUUUGAGCACUAACUUA
rnacentral:lncRNA from 1 species